rnacentral:rRNA from 1 species
UACGUAGGGUGCGAGCGUUGUCCGGAAUUAUUGGGCGUAAAGAGCUCGUAGGCGGUCUGUCGCGUCGAAUGUGAAAACCCGGGGCUCAACUCCGGGCUUGCAUUCGAUACGGGCAGGCUAGAGUUCGGUAGGGGAGUCUGGAAUUCCUGGUGUAGCGGUGAAAUGCGCAGAUAUCAGGAGGAACACCGGUGGCGAAGGCAGAUCUCUGGGCCGUAACUGACGCUGAGGAGCGAAAGCGUGGGGAGCGAACAGG